rnacentral:rRNA from 1 species
AUUGAACGCUGGCGGCAGGCCUAACACAUGCAAGUCGAACGGUAGCACAGAGAGCUUGCUCUCGGGUGACGAGUGGCGGACGGGUGAGUAAUGUCUGGGAAACUGCCCGAUGGAGGGGGAUAACUACUGGAAACGGUAGCUAAUACCGCAUAACGUCUUCGGACCAAAGUGGGGGACCUUCGGGCCUCACACCAUCGGAUGUGCCCAGAUGGGAUUAGCUAGUAGGUGGGGUAAUGGCUCACCUAGGCGACGAUCCCUAGCUGGUCUGAGAGGAUGACCAGCCACACUGGAACUGAGACACGGUCCAGACUCCUACGGGAGGCAGCAGUGGGGAAUAUUGCACAAUGGGCGCAAGCCUGAUGCAGCCAUGCCGCGUGUAUGAAGAAGGCCUUCGGGUUGUAAAGUACUUUCAGCGGGGAGGAAGGCGAUGUGGUUAAUAACCGCAUCGAUUGACGUUACCCGCAGAAGAAGCACCGGCUAACUCCGUGCCAGCCGCCGCCGUAA